GUGGAUAUAGCUCAGUGGCAGAGCAUGAGGGCGCAGGUUCGAUUCCUGCUAUCCGCA
rnacentral:tRNA from 2 species